CUAUGUUGUAUUGUAGCUAUACAUGGAAGAUUUAUGCAAACAAAGUGCUGAACAUGGGAUCCAUUUAUGGAUUUUGGAGGCAGAUAAACAAAGAACCAAAGGAAGCUAAGCAAAGAUACAUCCAGAUGUUCUAUAGUCUCCUGUUCAGGAAACUAGUAAGUUAGCUCAGCCAAUUACUUCAAAAUUUUUCGAGCAUUAGAUAGUCAUUAUUUUAACACUCACAAUGUUUCAGGCAAGUAAUGUACCCAUCAAAGUUCCUGAACCUCUACAAUCAGCACAAACUUCACCAGUUGAAUCCCAGCAACCUGCAGCAGCAACAGGGAUAGCUAAACCCCAGCCACCAGCAUCAGCAGUGAUAGAUAAACCUAACCAACAAGAAAAGACCGCUCAGCAAAAGAAAAGGCAUGUACGGAAAACUAUGACUGUUAUAUGAAAUUUUAAUUUUAGGAGACUAAUUCACAUGGAAAAUUUUGAGCUAGACUGGACAAUUUUCAGAAAAUUAAGAAGAAAAAUUAAAUAAAUUGUAGCACUGACUUAGUCGUCUUUGCUCUGACUCAUCUUUGCAUUUGUCUUUGGUUGAUUUCUGAGUCCAAACUGGCUUUACUGUAAAAUCACACGGGUUUUGGUUCACAGGGAAGAAGGUUCAGAGCUGAAGCCGCCUAGCUCUCAGCAAAUAAGGAAUCCUGUACGUGACCUUUGGACCCAGUGGGGCAUCACCAUUGGCUUUCUCUUCAUCAUCUAUUACCUUCUCAAGAGAUUGUAUUGCAUGUUUAUGUAAAUGUAUCAUCAAGACAGUGACACAUAU
rnacentral:lncRNA from 1 species